rnacentral:lncRNA from 1 species
UUGGAAACAGUACAUAUCGGUUUGAGGUGUCUUUUAUUUUAUUUUAUUUUUGCCAUCGAUUUAUAUGCUAAUGAUUUAAUUUCUAUGUUAAGAGUAUCAUCGCUUAUGGUAAGAACUCAGCAGAAUAGAUGAUAAGAGAUAACAACAUGACAUGGAUUGGAGGGCAUAUUUCUCAGUAGCCAUAUCAAAUCAUGGGAAUCUGAUUGGUGGAUUGGCCUCGCGAUCACAGUACGAAAGCGAGAAAAUGCAUAUCUAAUGGCCAGAAGCAUGUAAGCAUGAAAAUCCCCAUGCGCCCAUAUUAUUUAUUUCUUUUAUUCUUCUCUUUUGGGUGAAAAAUAAACAAGAAGCUUUUUUUUUUUUCUUCCCUAGGGUUUCCAUCAAUUCUCGAUUUCUACUCCUAUGUCC